rnacentral:ribozyme from 1 species
AGAGCGAAUUAGCUUCAGUCUGUGUGUUAUGGUCUGGACCAAUGAUAGGUAACCUUGUCUUCACCUCCUCUACUGUAGUGUAUGGGGACCAAUCAAACACUGUCAACGAAGCGUUUCGUUUAGAUUCUCGAUCCAACCGUGCAACUAAUAUGAUUAAUGCAGAAGAAG